CAGACAAUCCUGGAACCAGGAACUUCAACUGACGUUUCAUCCUCUCAUUUCCCUGAAAAUUUUAGUUGCACAUUGAAGUUACUGGACGCGUGUUCUGUUCAAGGUGGCUCUUUGCUCUAUGUCUURGUACAUAUGAAGAGGUCCCAUGCAGCAGCUCUGGGUCACAUACAUUUUUGUUUCUAACUCCUGUCUGCCUCCCAUGAUCUCUGCUCUUCAGCAGCACACUUGCACUGCUCCUCCUCCUCGUGGAGAUCCACAGCACAGAGAAUGAGGCCGACCAUCACAUCCUACAAAUAAUAUUGGUUUUGUUUAGCCUGAAAAUGAUUUGAUUUUGAAUUGGCUCACCUUGUUAGUCAAAUACAGUUCUUGGCAAGUGAAUUGUAUGCUGGAUUUGUGAACUACAAGGGAAAAYCUACUUACGAUGACAUCCUUUUCCUGAAACCUAUGUUGGCCAGCCCUGCUGCUUUUGAAUGAGCUCUGGUGCAGUCCACGUCUAAUGAAGAAGCAAGUGUGUGGUGACUUUCAUUCAGAUGUGUCUUUGUGGCUUAGC